GAUGAACGCUUGCUACAGGCUUAACACAUGCAAGUCGAGGGGCAGCAUGGUCUUAGCUUGCUAAGGCCGAUGGCGACCGGCGCACGGGUGAGUAACACGUAUCCAACCUGCCGUCUACUCUUGGACAGCCUUCUGAAAGGAAGAUUAAUACAAGAUGGCAUCAUGAGUCCGCAUGUUCACAUGAUUAAAGGUAUUCCGGUAGACGAUGGGGAUGCGUUCCAUUAGAUAGUAGGCGGGGUAACGGCCCACCUAGUCUUCGAUGGAUAGGGGUUCUGAGAGGAAGGUCCCCCACAUUGGAACUGAGACACGGUCCAAACUCCUACGGGAGGCAGCAGUGAGGAAUAUUGGUCAAUGGGCGAGAGCCUGAACCAGCCAAGUAGCGUGAAGGAUGACUGCCCUAUGGGUUGUAAACUUCUUUUAUAAAGGAAUAAAGUCGGGUAUGCAUACCCGUUUGCAUGUACUUUAUGAAUAAGGAUCGGCUAACUCCGUGCCAGCAGCCGCGGUAAUACGGAGGAUCCGAGCGUUAUCCGGAUUUAUUGGGUUUAAAGGGAGCGUAGAUGGAUGUUUAAGUCAGUUGUGAAAGUUUGCGGCUCAACCGUAAAAUUGCAGUUGAUACUGGAUAUCUUGAGUGCAGUUGAGGCAGGCGGAAUUCGUGGUGUAGCGGUGAAAUGCUUAGAUAUCACGAAGAACUCCGAUUGCGAAGGCAGCCUGCUAAGCUGCAACUGACAUUGAGGCUCGAAAGUGUGGGUAUCAAACAGGAUUAGAUACCCUGGUAGUCCACACGGUAAACGAUGAAUACUCGCUGUUUGCGAUAUACAGCAAGCGGCCAAGCGAAAGCGUUAAGUAUUCCACCUGGGGAGUACGCCGGCAACGGUGAAACUCAAAGGAAUUGACGGGGGCCCGCACAAGCGGAGGAACAUGUGGUUUAAUUCGAUGAUACGCGAGGAACCUUACCCGGGCUUAAAUUGCAGAUGAAUUACGGUGAAAGCCGUAAGCCGCAAGGCAUCUGUGAAGGUGCUGCAUGGUUGUCGUCAGCUCGUGCCGUGAGGUGUCGGCUUAAGUGCCAUAACGAGCGCAACCCUUGUUGUCAGUUACUAACAGGUUCCGCUGAGGACUCUGACAAGACUGCCAUCGUAAGAUGUGAGGAAGGUGGGGAUGACGUCAAAUCAGCACGGCCCUUACGUCCGGGGCUACACACGUGUUACAAUGGGGGGGUACAGAGGGCCGCUACCACGCGAGUGGAUGCCAAUCCCAAAAACCUCUCUCAGUUCGGACUGGAGUCUGCAACCCGACUCCACGAAGCUGGAUUCGCUAGUAACCGCGCAUCAGCCACGGCGCGGUGAAUACGUUCCCGGGCCUUGUACACACCGCCCGUCAAGCCAUGGGAGCCGGGGGUACCUGAAGUGCGUAACCGCGAGGAGCGCCCUAGGGUAAAACUGGUGACUGGGGCUAAGUC
rnacentral:rRNA from 1 species